UCGUGGUUUUUGUAUUAUUGUACUUGUGUUAUUCUAUGGUUUCUAGUUUUGAUCCCUUGCCCUUCAUGUUUCUGUGUCCCCUCGGUUCUGUGUAAGUCUGUGUCUUUGCAUGUUUGAGUUUUGUUGUUUUCUGUCACUCUGUAUUGUGAAUUAUGUUCUCAUGGUUGGUCUUUUGUUACUCUCUCGAGUCUAGUUUCUUGUGUUCCAAGCUUAGUAUUUCCCUCUGUGUAUUUUGGUUCUUAGACCUCUGCCUUAUGGUUUAUGUCUCUGUGUUUCUUAGUUGCUGUCUUCACUGUGCCAAGUUCGUGUCUCUGUGUCAUACUUCCUGUUAUACUUUGAAGGUCCAUGUCUUAUGUGAAUGUGUCCUGCUUUGCUUCCUUGUCUCGUCAGUCCUGAUUUCUCCCAGCUGUGCCCUCCUUCUGUGUCUCAUUCCCCUCGUUACUUCCCAGUGUAUUUAAACCCUGUGUUUUUCUGAGUCAGUGUCGUGUUGUCCCUCAAGUUGUGUGUUUCCUUGUGUGCCUCUCUGCAAAGUGUAAGUUUAUAUUCUUCCCAGUUUAGUUUUGUUUGCUUUCCCCUGUCAACAAAUAAAGCUGAGUUUUUUGAGUUCAUCCCUCGAGUCUGAGUACCUGCAUCUGGGGUCCAACGCCUGCCUGCCACACAGCGAUUCUUGACAGAACGACGCGACCAGACAUGGACUCAGCAGGCUCCUCCCGGGAAAGCGAUUUGGCCCGCAUCUUCAGUCUGUGGAAGCGAGUUUCCCACGCCUCGGACACUAAAACAAUGUCCAUUGGGAUAAAUGCCAUCGAGGCAAUUCUCAAGGGGAAUCCCCAUCUUCGCGAGCUCUCAGGAUUUUUGGGCCUACUUUCCAAUCUGCAUAAAGCCAAGGAGGCGGUACGAGCUUGCCGUGCCGCAGCAACAGUCGCUAAUGGAGCUCGUCAUACCGCAACAGCGACCGCCACAAUUGGAAAACAUUUCCAUGCCGCUGCCACAGAACUCCUCUCCAUCCACCCUCCGCUCUGACUGUCACUCACCCGCUGCUUUUCUCGCAGCAAUGUGGUCGGAGGAUGAGGAGCCGACCGUGACCUCUCCGUCGUUGCCAGUUUCCUCCAUCCCUGCACCUCCUGCUUCCCGAAGAAAACAGCGUUCACUCCGCCGACACCCACCGCCACAGCCGGACCCCAAGACUUCUGAGCUGCCGGCUGUGGUGAGUGGAAGAGACAAUCAAGAGUUUCCUGACUUGGGGACUGUUUAUUCUGUUUAUUCCGGGGCUUUGUUUUUUCUGUCAGCUGCCCAGCCUGAAGCUCUGUCAGCUGCCCAGCCUGAAGCUCUAUAUUCAACCUAUAGCCCUGCCAUUAAUGCACUCUGUAGCUUAGCCACUAGCCGCCCAGCCCGCAAGCUGGGCGGCUAAUGGCUAAGCUGAUACUGUCAAAGGAGGUAACACCUCAAAUCUGAUGGAACACCUGGCGACACAUAGCGUUUUUGUUUUGUUUUUUAAAGCCGAGAAAUGCGCAGUGUUUGAUAGCUUGCUGCGAGACCUCACACCGUGCACAUCUACUGCGGGUGUGGUGCCUGUUAUCGGACACGGAGUUAGCAACAUCCCCGAAAAACCCGAAGAGGAGAGUCCUGGCCCCUAGCCCUGUCAGCGUAGCAGAAAUGAUGAUGGCAGCAGCAGCCGUUCUCCUCUGCCUUUUCACCUACGCAAAUCAAGCCUCGGUCUUCAGACGUGAAGACAUCUACCAGAGUCUCAAUCCAGUCAGCAGGGAUCGUAACCAGCUCUAUUCUACACUCGUGCCCAAUUAGGAUGUGCAGUUUUUGAAUUUUUAAGUGUGCACAGUGUAAUUGGUUUUUUUGGUUUUUUUUGGAGUUAAUCUUGGAAGAAUUAAGCUUGUCAUGUAGCCAUGACACAGUCUGACCCAAGACGGUAUACAUUUCCUGUGAGUAAUCCUUCCUUCCUUCCUGUGUUUAUUUCAGGAGUUAGAGCUCAAUAUAAGGGUUAAGUCUAAAGUCUGCACAUUUAACCUCAUUGCAUAUUACUCACCACAUUAUGAUUUAAAAUUUUUGAUGUCAUAAAAAGCAUUUGUAUCAUAAAACAAGUGAACAGAUUUUUUUUUUUUCACAUUUUUACACCUGUAAUUUUCUGUUCAAUAAAAGAACGUUUUGAUCUCAUAUGGCUGGAAUUUGCUCACUUGGGGAAAAAAUAUAAACUGAUUAAAAAAAAAACAUCCUAAAAUUGUUGUAUUUUAAAUGUUUUUAUGUUAACGAAC
ensembl:lncRNA